AUGGCCUGGACUUCUGUUUGGAUCACACUUCUGGCUCACUGCACAGGAGCCAUUUCACAGACUGUUGUGACUCAGGAAUCUUCACUCACCACAUCUCCUGGAGGGACAGUCACACUGACUUGUGGCUCAAGUACUGGGACUGUUACUACAAGUAACUAUGCCACCUGGGUCCAAGAAAAAUCUUACCAGAUACACACUGGUCUGAUAGGUGGCACCAACUACAGAGGCCCAGGUGUUCCUGCCCGAUUCACAGGCUCUGUGCUUGGAGACAAGGCUGCCCUCACCAUCGCAGGGGCACAGCCUGAGGAUGAGGCUGUGUAUUAUUGUGCUCUGUUGUACAGUAGCCAGUUCCUCACUGACACAUGCAGUCCCAUUGUUCACAUGAGUAGUGAACUUAACCCUGCUUUAUACUUCCUCAUUUAUCCCUAUGGUGUCAUUCUCCAGGCGGAAUAUGUCAAGCAACAAAAUAAUAUCUAG